rnacentral:rRNA from 1 species
AAAUUGAAGAGUUUGAUCAUGGCUCAGAUUGAACGCUGGCGGCAGGCCUAACACAUGCAAGUCGAACGGUAACAGAAAGAAGCUUGCUUCUUUGCUGACGAGUGGCGGACGGGUGAGUAAUGUCUGGGAAACUGCCUGAUGGAGGGGGAUAACUACUGGAAACGGUAGCUAAUACCGCAUAACGUCGCAAGACCAAAGAGGGGGACCUUCGGGCCUCUUGCCAUCGGAUGUGCCCAGAUGGGAUUAGCUAGUAGGUGGGGUAACGGCUCACCUAGGCGACGAUCCCUAGCUGGUCUGAGAGGAUGACCAGCCACACUGGAACUGAGACACGGUCCAGACUCCUACGGGAGGCAGCAGUGGGGAAUAUUGCACAAUGGGCGCAAGCCUGAUGCAGCCAUGCCGCGUGUAUGAAGAAGGCCUUCGGGUUGUAAAGUACUUUCAGCGGGGAGGAAGGGAGUAAAGUUAAUACCUUUGCUCAUUGACGUUACCCGCAGAAGAAGCACCGGCUAACUCCGUGCCAGCAGCC